GGACGAACGCUGGCGGCGUGCCUAAUACAUGCAAGUCGAACGAACUCUGGUAUUGAUUGGUGCUUGCAUCAUGAUUUACAUUUGAGUGAGUGGCGAACUGGUGAGUAACACGUGGGAAACCUGCCCAGAAGCGGGGGAUAACACCUGGAAACAGAUGCUAAUACCGCAUAACAACUUGGACCGCAUGGUCCGAGUUUGAAAGAUGGCUUCGGCUAUCACUUUUGGAUGGUCCCGCGGCGUAUUAGCUAGAUGGUGGGGUAACGGCUCACCAUGGCAAUGAUACGUAGCCGACCUGAGAGGGUAAUCGGCCACAUUGGGACUGAGACACGGCCCAAACUCCUACGGGAGGCAGCAGUAGGGAAUCUUCCACAAUGGACGAAAGUCUGAUGGAGCAACGCCGCGUGAGUGAAGAAGGGUUUCGGCUCGUAAAACUCUGUUGUUAAAGAAGAACAUAUCUGAGAGUAACUGUUCAGGUAUUGACGGUAUUUAACCAGAAAGCCACGGCUAACUACGUGCCAGCAGCCGCGGUAAUACGUAGGUGGCAAGCGUUGUCCGGAUUUAUUGGGCGUAAAGCGAGCGCAGGCGGUUUUUUAAGUCUGAUGUGAAAGCCUUCGGCUCAACCGAAGAAGUGCAUCGGAAACUGGGAAACUUGAGUGCAGAAGAGGACAGUGGACUCCAUGUGUAGCGGUGAAAUGCGUAGAUAUAUGGAAGAACACCAGUGGCGAAGGGCGGCUGUCUGGUCUGUAACUGACGCUGAGGCUCGAAAGUAUGGGUAGCAAACAGGAUUAGAUACCCUGGUAGUCCAUACCGUAAACGAUGAAUGCUAAGUGUUGGAGGGUUUCCGCCCUUCAGUGCUGCAGCUAACGCAUUAAGCAUUCCGCCUGGGGAGUACGGCCGCAAGGCUGAAACUCAAAGGAAUUGACAGGGGCCCGCACAAGCGGUGGAGCAUGUGGUUUAAUUCGAAGCUACGCGAAGAACCUUACCAGGUCUUGACAUACUAUGCAAAUCUAAGAGAUUAGACGUUCCCUUCGGGGACAUGGAUACAGGUGGUGCAUGGUUGUCGUCAGCUCGUGUCGUGAGAUGUUGGGUUAAGUCCCGCAACGAGCGCAACCCUUAUUAUCAGUUGCCAGCAUUAAGUUGGGCACUCUGGUGAGACUGCCGGUGACAAACCGGAGGAAGGUGGGGAUGACGUCAAAUCAUCAUGCCCCUUAUGACCUGGGCUACACACGUGCUACAAUGGAUGGUACAACGAGUUGCGAACUCGCGAGAGUAAGCUAAUCUCUUAAAGCCAUUCUCAGUUCGGAUUGUAGGCUGCAACUCGCCUACAUGAAGUCGGAAUCGCUAGUAAUCGCGGAUCAGCAUGCCGCGGUGAAUACGUUCCCGGGCCUUG
rnacentral:rRNA from 1 species